GACGAACGCUGGCGGCGUGCUUAACACAUGCAAGUCGAACGGGCCCGCUCUCUUUUUUGGGGGUGGGUUGAGUGGCGAACGGGUGAGUAUCACGUGAGUAACCUGCCCCCUGCUCCUGGAUAACUGCUUGAAAGGGCGGCUAAUACGGGGUGUGCCGGCUGGUCCGCAUGGGCCUGGUCGGGAUAGUUUCAUCUUCGGGUGUUUCGGUGGGGGAUGGGCUCGCGGCCUAUCAGCUUGUUGGCGGGGUGAUGGCCCACCAAGGCGGUGACGGGUAGCCGGCCUGAGAGGGUGGGCGGCCACACUGGGACUGAGACACGGCCCAGACUCCUGCGGGAGGCAGCAGUGGGGGGUAUUGCGCAAUGGGCGGAAGCCUGAUGCAGCGACGUCGCGUGAGGGAUGGAGGCCUUCGGGUUGGGAACCUCUUUCUCCGGUGGUGAAGGCCCUGUCCGUUGCGGCGGGGUUGACGGUAGCCGGGGAUGAAGCGCCGGCUAACUACGUG
rnacentral:rRNA from 1 species